UGGAGAGCCAGCCUUAGAAUCUGCA
rnacentral:misc_RNA from 1 species